AAGCAGCCUCUUGGGGCACUGAAUACAUUAGCAUGGGAUAAUGAACUAGAACUCCAAUUAAUCACUAUACCUUGACCCACAUAACUUACUUUGAGUUCUAGUUCAUUUACUUUGAGAAAAUUAGAGUGUUUAAAAGCAGCCUCUUGGGGCACUGAAUACAUUAGCAUGGGAUAAUAAAAUAGGAUCUUCACAAUAUAUUUUAUUGGUUUAAAUUGGAUAUGAAGAUAAUGAUUAAUAGGGACAGUUGGGGUAUUCAUAUUGGGUGGUUAGCGGUGAAAUGCUCGGAUCCAUUCAAGAUGAACUAAAGCGAAAGCAUUUACCAAGGAUGUUUCAUUAAUCAAGAACGAAAGUUAAGGGAUCGAAGACGAUUAGAUACCGUCGUAGUCUUAACUAUAAACUAUGCCGAC
rnacentral:rRNA from 1 species